GAGAUGCUUUGACUGCUCUCUGGUCUGUUUUCAGAGCGGACAGGAGCUGACGCGAGGAAACCGCCGCCGUUUUUAUCCUUGUUGUUGUUAUUCUGAAAUCAGGCUUUUUAUCCGCUGUUGGAGGGAGUUUUAUCCUGUGGCCGUUGCCGUUAUUUAUUGACGCUGAUAAGAAGAGCGUUUUGACCGUCCUCGUACGGGUGUCAUUCUGCAGAAGACGAGAGAAAGACUAAUAAAGGUCAGAAGCGGCGAUGUUUCUCCUGUCAGUCCAUCAUCAAACACGCUUUGAUUUCGGAUCAGAUUCAUGCCUUUCCUUUUCUCACAGAGCUUUAAAUCACAUCAGACUUCAGCUGUGUGUUUUACAGACGCACCACAGUCACAGUCUGAACUAUUCGAGGGAAGUUUGCCUAAAUAUAGUCUGAAAAUGCAGCAGAUUUAGCCGCCUAGACGCCUCCCAGACCCAUGUUUGUUCUCUGUUGUGUUUGUAAGAUGCGACACAAUCAAGUACAUUAAACCCCAGCAUUAAAAUGUUAAAUGGUGUGUUUUUUUAUACACAGGGCAGCUACAUUAUAUUCAUACAGUAACACUUUCACACACACACUAUAUCUGAUCUGAAUCCGGUGCUAAUACGACAGACGCUGUCUUUAAUGAAUGCAUUAGCCGUAACACGUUCUAGCUCAGACGCCCCUAGGUUUGUGUUAUUAAGCACUUGCAUGUGCGUCCUGUGUGGAUAUUACAGUGAAUAUGCAUUAAACUCCUCUUCAGUACUCA